UGUGCAAGUUUAUCUGAUUUUGCAAGAGUGUGGCAAUGAAGGCUUGGUGAGAAAAUGACGGUGGGUUAGCGAUCUUAACAGGACAGGUGUGGUAAGGACACUGGAUUUUGCCGCAGUUAGGACUGCUAGCUGUUAGCGAUGUAUAUGCUUCCCAGCUUAUUGACUGUGGAUGGACAAAUGAAAGAAUCAAGAAACACAAAGGUGACGAUGGCAAUCGGAUGUUUAAUGACUAUCAUGUUGAACUUUGACAUAUCGAAGCAUU